GAUUGCCUCAGUAACGGCGAGUGAAGCGGCAAGAGCUCAAAUUUGAAAGCUGGCUCCUUCGGAGUCCGCAUUGUAAUUUGCAGAGGAUGCUUUGGGUGCGGCCCCCGUCUAAGUGCCCUGGAACGGGCCGUCAGAGAGGGUGAGAAUCCCGUCUUGGGCGGGGUGUCCGUGCCCGUGUAAAGCUCCUUCGACGAGUCGAGUUGUUUGGGAAUGCAGCUCUAAAUGGGUGGUAAAUUUCAUCUAAAGCUAAAUACUGGCCGGAGACCGAUAGCGCACAAGUAGAGUGAUCGAAAGAUGAAAAGCACUUUGAAAAGAGAGUUAAACAGCACGUGAAAUUGUUGAAAGGGAAGCGCUUGCGACCAGACUCGCCCGCGGGGUUCAGCCGGCAUUCGUGCCGGUGUACUUCCCCGUGGGCGGGCCAGCGUCGGUUUGGGCGGCCGGUCAAAGGCCCCUGGAAUGUAGUACCCUCCGGGGUACCUUAUAGCCAGGGGUGCAAUGCGGCCAGCCUGGACCGAGGAACGCGCUUCGGCACGGACGCUGGCAUAAUGGUCGUAAACGACCCGUCUUGAAACACGGACCAAGGAGUCUAACAUCUACGCGAGUGUUCGGGUGUCAAACCCGUGCGCGCAGUGAAAGCGAACGGAGGUGGGAGCCCCCUCGCGGGGCGCACCAUCGACCGAUCCUGAUGUCUUCGGAUGGAUUUGAGUAAGAGCGUAAAUGUGGGGACCCGAAAGAUGGUGAACUAUGCCUGAUUAGGGCGAAG
rnacentral:rRNA from 1 species